AGUUGGGCACUCUAGAGAGACAGCCGGUGAAAGCCGGAGGAAGGUGGGGAUGACGUCAAAUCAUCAUGCCCCUUAUGUCCUGGGCUACACACGUGCUACAAUGGCUGGUACAAUGGGUCGCUAUCCCGCGAGGGGACGCUAAUCCCAUAAAACCAGUCUCAGUUCGGAUCGCAGGCUGCAACUCGCCUGCGUGAAGCCGGAAUCGCUAGUAAUCGCGGAUCAGCAUGCCGCGGUGAAUACGUUCCCGGGCCUUGUACACACCGCCCGUCACACCACGAGAGUUUGCAACACCCGAAGUCGGUGACGUAACCGCAAGGAACGAGCCGCCGAAGGUGGGGCAGAUGAUUGGGGUGAAGUCGUAACAAGGUAUCCCUACCGGAAGGUGGGGAUGGAUCACCUCCUUUCU
rnacentral:rRNA from 1 species